UGGGGAAUUUUGGACAAUGGGCGAAAGCCUGAUCCCAGCAAUGCCGCGUGUGUGAAGAAGGCCUUCGGGUUGUAAAGCACUUUUGUCCGGAAAGAAAUCCUUGGCUCUAAUACAGUCGGGGGAUGACGGUACCGGAAGAAUAAGCACCGGCUAACUACGUGCCAGCAGCCGCGGUAAUACGUAGGGUGCAAGCGUUAAUCGGAAUUACUGGGCGUAAAGCGUGCGCAGGCGGUUUGCUAAGACCGAUGUGAAAUCCCCGGGCUCAACCUGGGAACUGCAUUGGUGACUGGCAGGCUAGAGUAUGGCAGAGGGGGGUAGAAUUCCACGUGUAGCAGUGAAAUGCGUAGAGAUGUGGAGGAAUACCGAUGGCGAAGGCAGCCCCCUGGGCCAAUACUGACGCUCAUGCACGAAAAGCGUGGGGGAGCAAAACAGGAUUAGAUACCCUGGUAGUCCACACCCUAAAACGAUGUCAAACUAGUUGUUGGGGAUUCAUUUUCCUUAGUAACGUAGCUAAACGCGUGAAGUUGACCGCCUGGGGAGUAACGGUCGCAAAGAUUAAAAACUCAAAGGAAUUGACGGGGUCAUAGCUGUUUCCU
rnacentral:rRNA from 1 species